rnacentral:rRNA from 1 species
AACGAACGCUGGCGGCAUGCCUAACACAUGCAAGUCGAACGAGACCUUCGGGUCUAGUGGCGCACGGGUGCGUAACGCGUGGGAACCUGCCCUUAGGUUCGGAAUAACUCCCCGAAAGGGGUGCUAAUACCGGAUAAUGUCUUCGGACCAAAGAUUUAUCGCCUUUGGAUGGGCCCGCGUUGGAUUAGCUAGUUGGUAGGGUAAAAGCCUACCAAGGCGACGAUCCAUAGCUGGUCUGAGAGGAUGAUCAGCCACACUGGGAAUGAGACACGGCCCAGACUCCUACGGGAGGCAGCAGUGGGGAAUAUUGGACAAGGGGCGAAAGCCUGAUCCAGCAAUGCCGCGUGAGUGAUGAAGGCCGUAGGGUUGUAAAGCUCUUUUACCCGGGAUGAUAAUGACAGUACCGGGAGAAUAAGCUCCGGCUAACUCCGUG